rnacentral:lncRNA from 1 species
AUGACCCCCAGAGGUUCAGAAAAACCCCAAUUUUGGAGUUUUUCCACUCAAAAAAUUCAAAUUUUGGGCUUUGUCCCUCCCUGCCCCAGACCCCAGAUCGACCCCAUAAAUCCCCAAAAUUCCCAGAAAUCCCAAAAAAUCCCCAAAAUCCCAAAAAAUCCCCAACUGAGAAGGAGCCGGAGCCGCCGCAGGUCCAGGGAAACUUUAUUGGAGAAAAAACCCAAAAAUGGGGAAAAAACCCAAAAAAUGGGGAAAAACCCAAAACUGCAGGAAGAGCCGAAAAGGGGGGGAAAGACCCCAAAAAUGAGGAAUUUUUACCCCAAAAAAGGGAGAAAUCCUAAAAAAAAGAGGGAAAAUCCCAAAAAAAACCAGAAAAAAAUCCCAAAAAAUCCGAAAAAUUGGGGGAAAUCCCAAAUAAAGAGACCCAGACUUUGGGGGUUCUCAGGAGUGCUGGAGUGGAGCAAGGACCCCCCCAAAAAUCAGAAUAA